GAUGAAGAACGCAGCGAAAUGCGAUACGUAAUGUGAAUUGCAGAAUUCAGUGAAUCAUCGAAUCUUUGAACGCACAUAGCGCCCCCUGGUAUUCCGGGGGGCAUGCCUGUCCGAGCGUCAUUGCUGCCCUCAAGCACGGCUUGUGUGUUGGGCCUCCGUCCUCCUCCCGGGGGACGGGCCCGAAAGGCAGCGGCGGCACCGCGUCCGGUCCUCGAGCGUAUGGGGCUUCGUCACCCGCUCUUGUAGGCCCGGCCGGCGCUUGCCGACACAUCAAUCUUUUUUCCAGGUUGACCUCGGAUCAGGUAGGGAUACCCGCUGAACUUAAGCAUAUCAAUAAGCGGAGGA
rnacentral:misc_RNA from 1 species